ensembl:lincRNA
CUCAUUCUCCACCCCAGUCCAUGUUUCUGUGCUCACGACCAGCUGGGGAGACUGAGGCGCAGCGGCUCAGGGUUCCGUCCAAAGCCCUACAGCCGGGACAGCAAGGCAGUGCAGAGCUUCAGGCCCAGCCUCUUUCCCGUCUCUGAGGCUGCUCUCCCAGGAAGCACCCCUUUCGUCCUCUGGGAAACGCUCCCCAUCCCAGGGCUAGCAGGACACAGAGGACCGGCCCGGGCGGAAGGACGGCACCUGUUGGAGUGCUCCUGGACCACCUGGAACACGCUGACGUGCAGAGUCGUGUUGAGCAAGUGGGUGCUGGGCACCUUAUAAAUCCGGAACUCGGCAGCGGUGACGGCCUCCCUGGCCGGGAUCUGUGUCAGAUCGAAGCGGAACUCCUUCCAGUGGGGCUCCUGGUGGCCCAGGGCAUGGUCACGCUCCACUGGAAGACAAAGCGGGAGAGGCAGUCGAGAGCAGCUGAGACGGCUUGGGCUCUGGAGUGGGAAGCCGGGCAGCCCGAUCAGGGCCAGCUUCCUCUUCUGCAGGCUCUGCCCCAGGUGUACACAGGGCUCCACCAGUCCACCAGAUACACAAAUGCCGUAGGUGACAAUUUCAGUCGAUGCAGGAACUGCAGACACCUGUUAUGUGACUGUGUAAAGAUUCUCAGAUGUGCAAGAUAAAACAGAUCCAGGAUGUUAACUAUGAACAUGAGACAGAAAGAUGGGUCUACAGGCAGCCCCUUCUCCCUACCUUUCAAAGCAUCAUAUGUGCCUGCUUCUGGGUACAGUGCCAUGGACAAGUGCAUCCUGGGGCUUCCUAUUGGAUCUGGAGACUAAAGGAGCAACCCACACAACUGCGGGCUCCAAGGUCUGUGGCUGCCCCUGUGUGGCUUGCACAGGUUAUCUAGAAACAUUCUUGUUCAGCUGAACUGGUCCUACUUCCAAACUUCUCUGUCAUGAGUUUGAGAAAUCAAUAAACUGCCCAGGAAAGUGCCCACUCUGGCUGUUCCAAGAAUGCACUAGAAGUUGGGAAAUCUUUAGGAAAACAGUAAUUUUCAUCUGAAAUUGGUAAAAGUUCCCGUGGUGCAACACUGAAUCAGAUAUUACUGGAAUUGGCCAAAGGGAGUGCCCCUUUCUUUGCUGACCUGGAUAGACCCACAGCUGCUCAGUGUCUGUUCCUUGGGUUGGGAAAGCUGAUGUCGUGGACGAGCCCUUGUUGGGACCUGGAUUUCUCCCCACAGUGCUUCUGGGCAGGUUACUUCUGCUUUAACAACGGGGGCAGCUCCGAGAGGUAUAGCUGAUUUGGCGCACCUGGUGUUCUGAUCUCACCAGCCCUCAGAUGCUUCCCCGCUUCCCUCUGUGAAGUGGAAAGGCUGGGAAAGGGCAGGAACUAUGGGAUGGGAGUGGUGGUCAUUCCUCGGGACGUGGGAGAGGCACUGAUCUCCAUUUUCCUAAUUUAUUCCAGGUGCCAGGCAACACUAUCAGGAGGCCACGCCUGAGAUUUAAAGAGCAACAGGUGGGGGUUGAAGGGUAUUUCAGCUUUCUUUUUCUUUCUCUUUUUAGAGGCAUAUAGGGAUUUAUUAGGCAAAAAUGUAAAAGUACAUAUUCAAAGAAAUAUGUAGGCUCUCCACUCUACUUUAUUUUCCUAAAUCAAAAUAAGAAAUGAAAAACUGUAUCAUGAAAAUGUAUCAGUUCAAUGGAGAGGCACUUGGGUGGUUUCCAGGUGCUUUCC